UCUUGUUUACAAAAGUAAUAAAAUGCGGUUGGAUAUGAACAUUUCGUGCUAAAUAAUCUGUUUUAACAUUUUAACUUC
rnacentral:sRNA from 1 species